rfam:Ochrobactrum intermedium 229E Contig166, whole genome shotgun sequence.
CUUCAUCGAGUUCACUCCUCCUCCCAGAACUCGAUAAGGAAUACGGCACUCCUCCUCCCAAGCCGUAUUCAAGAUCAGGCCGCGCAUCCUCCUCCCGCGCGGCCUUUUUC